UGGGGAAUAUUGCACAAUGGGCGCAAGCCUGAUGCAGCCAUGCCGCGUGUGUGAAGAAGGCCUUCGGGUUGUAAAGCACUUUCAGCGAGGAGGAAGGUGGUGGACUUAAUACGUUCAUCAAUUGACGUUACUCGCAGAAGAAGCACCGGCCAACUCCGUGCCAGCAGCCGCGGUAAUACGGAGGGUGCAAGCGUUAAUCGGAAUUACUGGGCGUAAAAGCGCACGCAGGCGGUUUGUUAAGUCAGAUGUGAAAUCCCCGGGCUCAACCUGGGAACUGCAUUUGAAACUGGCAAGCUAGAGUCUCGUAGAGGGGGGUAGAAUUCCAGGUGUAGCGGUGAAAUGCGUAGAGAUCUGGAGGAAUACCGGUGGCGAAGGCGGCCCCCUGGACGAAGACUGACGCUCAGGUGCGAAAGCGUGGGGCAGCAAACAGGAUUAGAUACCCUGGUAGUCCAGCGCUGUAAACGAUGUCGAUUUGGAGGUUGUGCCCUUGAGGCGUGGCUUCCGGAGCUAGCGCGUUAAAUCGACCGCCUGGGGAGUACGGCCGCAAGGUUAAAAC
rnacentral:rRNA from 1 species